UCCGUAGGUGAACCUGCGGAAGGAUCAUUAACACUAAUCCAAUUCACCUUAACCAAUCCUUAAGUGCAGUAACGGGUCCAGCCAGCGAAAGCCGGUCGGGCAUUGUUACCGCUCUAUAAACCUAAUCAACCAAAGGAGCCUAACUAAGCUCAACAACUAAAACCAAAUUCUCAACGAUGGAUAUCUUGGUUCCCAUAACGAUGAAGAACGCAGCGAAGUGCGAUAAGCAAUGCGAAUUGCAGAACCGUGAGUCAUCAGAUUUUUGAACGCAACUGGCGCCGAUUGGAACUCCAGCCGGCAUGCUUGUUUCAGUGUCUCUUUUUCUCAUCACCCAAAUCUUAAUGCGAGAGAUACCCUUCUCUUGUCAAGUACGAAAGCACUCUGAGCCCUGCGAGUGGCUUGGCUUCGGUCAAGGCCACACUCAAUGCAGCAGUCACAUUUCACAAUGUGAACUCAUUGAGAGUAGAGUCAGCGCAGUUUACUGCUAGUGCUUAGAGCCUUUAAACUCUUCUUGUAUCUGAAAUCAAGCAGGACCACCCGCUGAACUUAAGCAUAUCAAUAAGGCGGGAGGGGGAAGGUCGGACUGGCCAAGGGCACACAGGGGGGGGAUA
rnacentral:rRNA from 1 species